CGACUUCACAAAUUACUUAAAUUAUUUCGGUCUUUUUGUUUGCAAUGGGUGCAAUGGAUGGACAGACACAACAAGCCGCGGUUGAGGCGGUAAUCAAAAGGAAAAAAAUCAUCGACAUUCAAAGAAAGGUCCAAAACGAAAAGAAAAACAAAUAAUCAUGAGAGCUACUCAUUUACGUUCCAUUUUCCAUACUGAUGAAUCGAUAGAAACUACUACAAGCACAUAUUGGACUUCGUCCGGGAUUGUAUGUCUGACAUCGUUAUAUAAUGAUGUGGAUGUCCUCCGCUAUAUGUAUGGUAGAAGGUGAAUUAAGCCAAAGAAGAUUACGAAGAAAGGAAAUAACUAAAGAUCAUCUUCGUAAAACCUUAUCCCAGGUUUGGCAAUGUACAUUUAUAUGGUGAUCCUUACAUUUUGAAAAAAAAAUUUGCAACCAGAUUGUAUUAUGAGUGUCAUUCAUUGAAUCUCAGGAAUGUAUAUGAUCUAGGAUGCCUAUAUUUCAACUUAUGAAAUGUUUUGUAUUACCAGUGGUACACUCUCUUUGUGUCAUGCAAUAUGCGCUGCAAAUGCAGGUACCAAAUAUGCCUAUGAAUGGCAACCUAGAUGAAAGUCUACAUCGGCGGCAGAAUAACUAUGCGGUUUCUAACAUGUGCACAAAUAAAAGAAGGUGAUGUUAAUUCAGGUGAUAAAAAUAAAAAUGUAGAAACAAAGGGACCAUUAUAUUGGUUCUGUUUCGUUGUAACAAUUUCCUUCUUUGUUCUUUCCCCAUUCCCCUGCCCUGCAACAUUGUGAUGAUUGAGAGAUUGUAAAUCUAAACACAUUUACAGUUAAAAGUUGAAUAAAGUAUAAAUGAUAACCUCUCG